rnacentral:rRNA from 1 species
UUAGCAUAUCAAUAAGCGGAGGAAAAGAAACCAACCGGGAUUACCCUAGUAACGGCGAGUGAAGCGGUAAGAGCUCAAAUUUGAAAGCUGGCUCCUUCGGGGUCCGCAUUGUAAUUUGCAGAGGAUGCUUCGGGAGCGGUCCCCAUCUAAGUGCCCUGGAACGGGCCGUCAUAGAGGGUGAGAAUCCCGUAUGGGAUGGGGUGUCCGCGCCCGUGUGAAGCUCCUUCGACGAGUCGAGUUGUUUGGGAAUGCAGCUCUAAUUGGGUGGUAAAUUUCAUCUAAAGCUAAAUAUUGGCCGGAGACCGAUAGCGCACAAGUAGAGUGAUCGAAAGAUGAAAAGCACUUUGAAAAGAGAGUUAAAAAGCACGUGAAAUUGUUGAAAGGGAAGCGCUUGCGAUCAGACUCGCUCGCGGGGUUCAGCCGGCCUUCGGGCCGGUGUACUUCCCCGCGGGCGGGCCAGCGUCGGUUUGGGCGGCCGGUCAAAGGCCCCUGGAAUGUAACGCCUCUCGGGGCGUCUUAUAGCCAGGGGUGCCAUGCGGCCUGCCCGGACCGAGGAACGCGCUUCGGCUCGGACGCUGGCAUAAUGGUCGUAAGCGACCCGUCUUGAAACACGGACCAAGGAGUCUAACAUCUACGCGAGUGUUCGGGUGUCAAACCCGUGCGCGCAGUGAAAGCGAACGGAGGUGGGAACCCCUCGGGGUGCACCAUCGACCGAUCCUGAUGUCUUCGGAUGGAUUUGAGUAAGAGCGUAGCUGUUGGGACCCGAAAGAUGGUGAACUAUGCCUGAAUAGGGCGAAGCCAGAGGAAACUCUGGUGGAGGCUCGCAGCGGUUCUGACGUGCAAAUCGAUCGUCAAAUUUGGGUAUAGGGGCGAAAGACUAAUCGAACCAUCUAGUAGCUGGUUCCUGCCGA